AUUGAACGCUGGCGGCAUGCCUUACACAUGCAAGUCGAACGGCAGCGGACCUUCGGGUGCCGGCGAGUGGCGAACGGGUGAGUAAAGUAUCGGAACGUACCUUUCAGUGGGGGAUAACGUAGAGAAAGUUACGCUAAUACCGCAUAUUCUGUGAGCAGGAAAGCAGGGGAUCGCAAGACCUUGCGCUGAUUGAGCGGCCGAUAUCAGAUUAGCUAGUUGGUGAGGUGAAGGCUCACCGAGGCGACGAUAUGGAGCGGGUAUGAGAGGAUGAUCCGCCACACUGGAAAUGAGACACGGUCCAGACUCCUCCGGGAGGCAGCGGUGGGGAAUUUUGGACAAUGGGGGCAACCCUGAUCCAGCCAUGCCGCGUGAGUGAAGAAGGCCUUCGGGUUGUAAAGCUCUUUCGGCCGGGAAGAAAUCGCGCCAGUUAAUACCUGGUGUGGAUGACGGUACCGGAAUAAGAAGCACCGGCUAACUACGUGCCAGCAGCCGCCGUAA
rnacentral:rRNA from 1 species